UGAAAUGAGGCCAUGCUCCCAAGAGCACUGAU
rnacentral:piRNA from 1 species